GGCUACGAGGACGAACGCUGGCGGCGUGCCUAACACAUGCAAGUCGAACGGAGAUCUUAUGGACGGCGGCUUCGGCCAAAGGAAGUUUGAUCUUAGUGGCGGACGGGCGAGUAACGCGUGAGUAACCUGCCUUUCAGAGGGGGACAACAGUUGGAAACGACUGCUAAUGCCGCAUAAUGUCAUUUAGGGGCAUCCCUGGAUGACCAAAGCUUUAUGUGCUGAAAGAUGGUCUCGCGUCUGAUUAGCUAGAUGCGGGGUAAGGCCCACCAUGGCGACGAUCAGUAGCCGGUCUGAGAGGAUGAACGGCCACAUUGGGACUGAGAUACGGCCCAGACUCCUACGGGAGGCAGCAGUGGGGGAUAUUGCGCAAUGGGGGAAACCCUGACCCAGCAACGCCGCGUGAAGGAAGAAGGCCUUCGGGUUGUAAACUUCUUUUAGCAGGGACGAAGGACGUGACGGUACCUGCAGAAAAGCAACGGCUAACUACGUG
rnacentral:rRNA from 1 species